rnacentral:rRNA from 1 species
UACGAAGGGGGCUAGCGUUGUUCGGAAUUACUGGGCGUAAAGCGCACGUAGGCGGAUAUUUAAGUCAGGGGUGAAAUCCCGGGGCUCAACCCCGGAACUGCCUUUGAUACUGGGUAUCUCGAGUCCGAGAGAGGUGAGUGGAAUUCCGAGUGUAGAGGUGAAAUUCGUAGAUAUCGGUAGGAAACACCAGUGGCGAAGGCGGCUCACUGGCUCGGUACUGACGCUGAGGUGCGAAAGCGAUGGGGAGCAACA